GUGUAAACAGCAGCAGAUCUCAACCAGUGUUAAACUGAAGGAGAAAAAACUAAGUGGAAGAUAGCCAUGAUUUAUGCUGUGUUGGAGUGGAGAACUGAGGGGAUGCAGAUGGUAUCUAUGACGUUGUGCUAGGCAGCUGAGUGGAAGAGGACAGAGGGAGGCGGGGUUUCCUCCAGUGAGACUACAGACACCCGGUGUCCAGUGUGAAGUCCCCACCUCUUCACCAAGAAAAAGCUUUUUGCGGCCUGUCACCAGAUAUGUCACAGCUUUCCUAUUCCAUAUUUCAUAUUUGUUGUUAAAAGAAACAACUCUACCACUAUCUAGCAUCAACAUGUCAUGCCUGUUGGGAGUGUACUGUUUCUCCCUGGUUUCAUAUACUGCGUUAAUAUACACAUAUACAAUACCGGUCAAAAGUUUGGACACACUUACCCAUUAUACAUUUAUAUAAAUGUAGGUCUAUAUCAAUAUACUGUAUGUAUGUUUUUAAAUGUUCACACAAACGUGUGUGCACUGAUGACACGAUACAAUGUGACCAUUCAGGUAAAGCGAAUAACGUUGCUAUCCUAACAACCUGACACAUGUCAAGGUCUGGGUAGAUAAGAUGGUAAGUGAACAAUCCGUUCUUUUUGUCAAUGUGUUGGAUGCAGGAGAAAUGGGCAGGAGUAAAGACCUGAGUGACCAAAUUGUUAUGGCCAGACGACAGGGUCAGAGCAUCUCUGAAAAGGCAAGGAUUGUGGGGUGCUUCCAUUCAGCAGGAUGGACAAACCACAAAACACCCUGUUGGACGCCCAAGGCUCACCAAUGUACGAGGGCAAAAAAGGCUGUCCCGUCUGAUCUGAACCUGCAGAAGGCCUGCUGCUAACGGCCUGGUUCCACAUACCACAGGACACUUUCAGGUCUUUAUGGACCCCGCUUUGUCCACAGAGGCACAGAUAUGCUGGAACAGGAAAUGGCCUUCCCCAAACUGUUGGCACAAAAGUUGGUAGCACCCAAGUGUUUUUAAUAUCUUUGUAUCCUAAGAGGACACUUCACUGGAAUUAAGGGGCCUACCCCAAACCCUGAAACACGCCCCAGACCAUUAUCCCUCCUCCAUAGAACUUUACAGUAGGCACUAUGCAUUCCAGUAGGUAGCGUUCUCCUGGCAUCCACCACACGUAGAUUCAUCAAUCAGAAUGCUAGAUAGUGAAAGUGAUUUAUCACUCCUGAGAACGUUCCCACGAGUCCACUGGUGGCAUGUUUUACACCACUCCUGCUGAAGCUUGGCAUUGUGCAUGUUGAUGUGAGGUUUGGGUAUAGCCGGUUGGCCAUGAAAACCCAUUGGGUGAAGCUCCUGACGCACAGUUCUUGUGCUGAUGUUGCUUCCAGAGACAGUUUGGAACUCUGUGGGGAGUGAUGCAACAGAUUCUAGGCGACUGUUACGCGCUACGCUCUCCGCACUGUGAGUAUACCACCUCGUGGCUGGACUGUUGUUUCUCCUAGACGCUUCCACUUCAGAAUAAUAGCCCUUACACCUGACUUGGGGAGAUCUACUAGGGCAGAAAUGUCCCAAGCUACUUUGUGGCAAAGGCAGCAUCCUAUGACAGCAACAUGUUUAAAAUCACUGAGUUCUUCUCAGUAUGAUCCAUUGUACUGCCAAUGUUUGUCUAUGGAGAUUUCAUGGCUAUGUGCUGGAUUUUAUGAAUGCUAUGAGCAAUGGGCGUGGCUAAAACACCUGCACUCAAUAAUAAGUAGGGGUGUCAAUCAAUCAAUCAAAUGUAUUUAUAGUAUGUCCACAUACUUCUGGCCAUAGAGUGGAUAUACAUCAUUGUAGGUAAUGACAGUUACCAAGGUUUUAAAUCGGACUGCUGUAGAACAAUAAUCAAAAGAUCCUACGACAAAUACACAAUACACAAUAAAUUACACUCACCUAAAGGAUUAUUAGGAACACCUGUUCAAUUUCUCUUUAAUGCAAUUAUCUAAUCAACCAAUCACAUGGCAGUUGCUUCAAUGCAUUUAGGGGUGUGGUCCUGGUCAAGAUAAUCUCCUAAAC
ensembl:lncRNA